rnacentral:rRNA from 1 species
UACGUAGGAGACGAGCGUUGUCCGGAGUUACUGGGCGUAAAGCGUGCGCAGGCGGUGAUGUAAGACAGGUGUGAAAUCCCCGGGCUUAACCUGGGAACUGCAUUUGUGACUGCAUCGCUGGAGUGCGGCAGAGGGGGAUGGAAUUCCGCGUGUAGCAGUGAAAUGCGUAGAUAUGCGGAGGAACACCGAUGGCGAAGGCAAUCCCCUGGGCCUGCACUGACGCUCAUGCACGAAAGCGUGGGGAGCAAACAGG